rnacentral:lncRNA from 1 species
UAAUUUUUGAAGCGAGUGUGGGGGCUGUCGGGCGCUCCGCCAUUUCCUCUUGCCCCUAAAGCUGUUAAACUAAAUUAUAGGCCUGGGCGAAUGAGAGGCCAGCUGUGCUUCAGCUGCGGGCCCCAGUUGUUGUGACAAAGUGAAAAGUGUGGGCACCAACAGAUCAUUAACUGCGGAGCCAAAAAUAAGCUGAUGAUGGAAUCACAUGCUCUAAGGGGACAGGAGAACGGGGCCCGUCUAACGCGAGUGCUGGUUCCGGCCCAGGAGGGGACUAAGCCUUACCAGCCAGAGAAGUGUGCUUGCCGUGUGCCAGCAUUUUAUGUAACACGGUUUACCAUACGGUCUCUUGAGUCCUUGUAACACAUCUUUGAGCUCACCUUGGAUUAGCUUGGCUCUGCAUCGAGUAUCUUCUCAUUCUUGGACCUAGGCUGAAGGAACAGUAUCCAUUUGGGACAAGCCAUCCUUGUAGAAGAAGAAAAAUGCAAGAAAGCUGGGGGAAACCCACAAUACUUCUGCACACAAUCAUCUCUGCUCUCAUUUCUUUAGUCCGAUAAAGCCAUGUGGCUGAGCCAUGCAGUGGCAUUGGGAGAUGUAUUCUGCUUACACAGAGGCACUGCAAGCCACAGAGCAACAGGCAGGAGGUUCCUCGAUGAAAAGAAGAACAACAAUCUCAGCCCAAGCAGAAGACACAGACUUGAAAUAUCACUUUCUUGGGAGAGCAGUCCCAUCCCAGUGUGACCAGCAUCAUGGAUCCAUCCAGCUUGGUUUAGAGAGAUGAUUAACAGGGAUAAGAGCACGAGAUACCCUUUGGUUCUCCUAAAGAUAUUUGCACUGCUCUCGAUUUAUAAGCUAUUCUUUCCUAAACAGUGUUGUGAGACUUUUGCAAUAAAAUGUAGCCCACCACUUUCCAAAUGUUUGAUCAAAGAAUUCUUCUUUUGAGGGGAGGAGGGUAAGAGAACUGCAUUAUUUGGGCUGCUAUGGAAUUCUGCUUUGGAGUCGUGCUCUUGGCAUACAGUAACAGAAGCUUAUAAAAGAGACUGAUGAACUUCACUUGUGUUUGUUGUACAAAUAUUAAGAAUAUGGUUCAUUUUUUAAAAAUCUCCUGUCCUUUUCAUGAGGAUGCAUGGGAGGAUUUUCCCUUCCUUAGUGCCAGAAAUAGUUGUGUUUUCCUUAGAAACUGUAUUAAUCUUACGGUCUCUUGUAACUAUAUGAUUGAUUGUCUUCCUAUGUGAAUUGGCUGACAGAAAGUUCUUUCCACAAGAAAUGUGUGAGUUCACAUGAAGCCAAGGUGGUCAAUGAACUUG